AACACUAAUAAAAAAAAAUUUUAUAUUCGAAAAUAAUCCGUGAAAAGUGUGAAAACGCGUCGUAGGCGAGUACAAUACGAAAACGAACGAAUAGCAGCGGAAAAGCUAACUGUCAGGCCAUGGCUACUAACCAAACAGCUGGAGGCAUCGAGAGGCACGACCAAAAUACACACACACACACACAUACACUGAAAUACAUGAAACAAUUCUAGAGCGUGCAAGUGAAAAAUCUAACGGAAAAUGUGCUAACUAAGUCCAUUCACACAUACACAUACAUAUACAUCUGUCUGUAUGUGUAUAUAUGUAUGUGCGUAGAGUGUUGUUGACAUGACGCAUGGUGUCCCGGUGACUUGGUUGGUCAGUGGAUAGCUGGUCAAUUGGUUAAGAAAUUGUUUAUUUUGCCAUUGAGCGCCAUUUAACAGCUGAUAGACCCCGCGGUCAGGCUAUACUAGGUAUGCUUGUAUUAAAAUAUGCGAAAGCCUGCGCAGUUCAAGAUAUGUUUAUAUGUAAAAAUGUAUCGAAAGCUACACUUUGCACAUGUGUGGGCGCGGUUGUGCGUGAGUGUAAAUAAUUCGACGAUACGCAACAAAGGUUUGAUAAGUCCAUUUAAUUAACAAAUGCUGGUAAAAAUAGGUGUGUUCCCCAGCGAAUGUGGGAUAAGCAGCGAAUGAGAUUUUUUAUUUCACUUUCAACCCUAACCUAAUUCGAUCAAUAGCUGACGAGUUAUACCGUGUCACGCAAAUAAAUAAAUAUACAAAAUAAAAUUAAAAUAAAUAAAACAGUAGAACAGUAAAAGCAAAUGCAAAAAAAUAAAACAAAUUAAAUCUUGUGGAAACUAAAUUACGCAGCACGUGUCUUUGCCAAAGCAGCAUGCUACAAUAAGGAUUAUGACUGUCACACCAGUUGCUGCCCCAAAAAUGCCGCUUUUGGUACAAAGGCAUAAAAAAACUGCAAUUUUAUUACUGACAAGUAAGCUCCGUAGGUUAAGUAAAAAAAAUGGCUAUCCAAAUUGCCUUAGACACUCACUUAAUUUUUUUGUGCCACCCUGUAUAUUUUUUUGUUUUCGUAUUUCCUAUAAAAUUGCGUACAUAAGCACUUAUGCAGCAAAGCAAUUUUUCCGCCUGCGACAGUUGAUUUGCCUUGGUGGCAAUAACCAAUUUACGAAAACGCAUGUUCAACAUAUGUACUUGAGUAUGUAUGUAUGAGUAUCGUAUGUAUAUGUGGUUAUUGAUUUGACAUGAUGGCGGAUCGCAUACGGAAGAAAGUGGCAGCGCAACAACUACAACUAGUUCAUUGACCGGCCCAAAUCAGCUGUACGGUGUUAAUUAAAAAUUCCAAGCCAAACAAUAAAUGUGCAAAAGAAUUCACGACGGCACUAGAUGUAUGCAAAUGAAGAGCUAUCGCACAAAUCCACAGCACAUCAGUCAUUAGAUACCAACACGAUUACGAGAUAAACGUAUGCAUAAACGAAAAAAUAUUAAUCAACGACAAAAGCAAGCAGGUCAUACACUACAAGCGCCAAAUAAUUUUCUGUUUUGAUAUAGAGAUUAUGCUUUCGAUAUCAUUGCUUAUUAAUUUAACGUUAUGUAUACGUAAAUGAAAAUAACGAAAUACAUACAUACAUGCAGACAAAUAAAUGGUGAUAUUUUAUCAGCUGGUAGCCAAGUGCGCCCAUUGUAAAUGAACAACAAAGUGAAAGCGUCAAAGCAUAUCUAACAACAAAAUAUGCAUACGGCGUUUAAAUAUAUAUAUAUACGUACGUAUUUAUAGAUAUCUUAUCAAUUGCGAAGCGCGGGUUAUUAAAAACUCAUAAAUAAAUAACAAUGAGUAGAAAUAACAAGCAGACGCUGCUACUUAAUGAGCUGCAGAAGGUGCACAAUUAAGCAGACUUGUUAAACAAAAAUUAAAUAACAUACAUACAUACACACAUGUGUGUGCUCCAUGUACAUGCAUAGUUAUUAUAAUUUAAUUAUUGAAAACUCAAUUUAUCACAACCAUAUCGGUUAUGAAAAUGUAUGUAUUUGCUAAUGACUCAACUAAUAAAUGCAAUAAUCACUUUUAUGCGCGUAUGAGAGAAAUACAAAUUUUUAAAUGCAGCAUUUGCGCUAAGCAAUCGCAUACUUUGAAUAAAAUAAUGUCGAAACAAGCACAUAUUUCACCUUUGUUAAUGGCUUGUUGAGGCACUUUGAUUACAG